rnacentral:tRNA from 1 species
GCCGGGGUGGCCGAGCGGCCCAAGGCGCGGGACUUGAGGCCAAGCAAGUGAUCCCGUCCCCGCAAGGGGGCGUGGGUUCAAAUCCCACCCCCGGCG